UUUCUUUUCUUGCUCUUGUUUAUUGUGAUAAAACACACAUAACAAAAUUUACAAUUUGACCAUUUUUUAAGUGUACAGUUCAGUCGUAUUAAGCCCAUUCAGAAGCUUUCUUAGGGUCCCUGCUCCUCCUCUGCCCCGGGUCUUGAAUACGAAGAUGAGGCCUCUAAAGACCAGCUGUUCUCUCAAGCCCCAGGCAGGUCCCCACCAGGCCUGUGCCCCGAUCUUGGGAAGCUGCUUCUCUGUCUUCAUUUCUCAUUUCUCACCCUGGCACAUUCCUUCUCCUUCCUCCUCCUCUUUCCCCUCCUCUUGCUACUUCAGCUUCUACUCCCUGGCAUUUUCCUCUGAGGUCCUGGGGGGAUGUCCCUUCUACCUCAGGUCCUGUAAUCCAUGCCCCCACAUCGCUCAAUUCUGGUGUCCUCCUCUGUCCCCAGGCUGGGGAAGCCUUGGACAUGCAGGGGGCUGUCUUGUUGGCGAGAGGGACAAUCCCUGGUUGUGUCCUUAUGGGAGACAUAUGUCUCUGGACAGAUUUCUUCAUCUUGUCUCUCUACCUUUCACUAUGAGAACAAAAACGUUCCUGCUGACAUCUUGUCAUCUGUGUGCACUGCCAAAUAAUCUCCCUCCGAGUUCUCGCCAUUUACAUAGAAUAGACCGUGUGGAGUACGCUUUUGAGAGGGGGUGGGAUGGUCAAGUGACAGCAGCAGGUCAGGGGAGUUUGUAGGGGAAACGUUGAAGAGUCAUCUGUUCUCACGGCCAUGGGUGACAGUGGCCUCCAUUACUCUGCAGCAGCCAGCAUGGGUGAUCAGAAUGUCAUCAAGGGUAGGGACCAAAAAGCCUUAGGAGCUACGGGAACCACGUCAGGAGCUGCUCCAUCAGGGGUGGGCACGCGUAUGAGCCAAGGGCCUCCUGGUGGGCAUUGGCCUCCAAGGCUUCAAAUCCUUGCUGCCCUUCCUGAGGUGUGGACUUUGGACGGGCAUAAAGAAGAACUGGCAUAUUUUCCAGAAAGGAGUGCGGGGCCAGCAUAAGGUGGGGAGGAGGUAGGGCUUAAAGACCAAGCUGCCUCAGGAGCCUCCAGGCCAGGGAAACCCAUCUGAUAGGCAGGGUCUACACUUCUGCUUCUGUGGCUUUGCCACUUCUGUCAGCGUCUUUUCUGGAAGAGGGGGCUCCAAAGUCAGAAAGAGAGGGGGAUUUGUCCUCAGUGGGAAGCCCAGGCCACCAACAGAGGCCUAGGGGAGGGCCCUGACUGGGCAGGCCUGGCAGGAGAGGAAUUCAGGGCACAGAGAUUUGGGUCCAGCUUAGCUUGACCAGAGAGAAAUGGCAGACCAGGGGCUCAGACACUGCGUAAGUCCUGUGGUUCCCUUGUGAACUGCUCUUACCCCCAGUCUCAACCAGGUGAGCUGGAAAGGAACUAAGUUCUGGCAAAGGGACCUUCAUACCAAGACUAAAGGCCGUGGGAGCCAAAUUCUUGAUUCCAGAAUAUCAGCAGGAUAUGGUGGAAAGUGCCCAGAUGGGGAAGGGGUUAAGGCAGAGCUGAUUUCUUUCCAUUUUGUUUUAAGGCUCAGUGAAUUUGUGUCUCUUUACCCUCUCAGCCCAGAUAAAUAUCAUGUUUUGAUUUCCUUGUGUUUUCUUGUUCAAAGAAAUUUGGACCACAAUGGGUGUAAAUGCUGUCAUCUUGCCCCCAAAACAAACACUGUGGGAGAGCCAAGGAUGCUUCUCUGGGCUGUUCCACCUCUGCUUCUCCACUUGCAGGGAUGGGGAGAGGGGACCUGUCUCCCGGGCUGAAGUCUGUGUUGGGGGCUCUGCUGUUGCGGCUCACCUGCUGAGCAAUGAGCAUGUGAUGGGGCUCCCCACUGGUGUCAGAGGGCACAGCUCGAGCCACCCAAGGGAAUGGUGCACAGGGAACUCUCAGGAAAAGAGUUAAGGCAGCCCUGUCAGAAGGCUAUCCUGGGAAUAUAUCCUUCCAGCCACAGGAAAGAAGCAACCAGACCCUGAGGACUGCAGCCCAGAGAGAUCCAAAGGGUCAGAGUAGCAAAGUUCUGGAAGGGGCAGGGAACUUUGGGACUGUGGGCCCUAGGGGACCCUUGGACCUAUACACCCCACUGAAAGGACCUCAAACACCACAUGCACAUAUACACAGUAUCGGUGUGAGCUCUCUGGCCUGGCCUCUUAGUGGCACCUGCCUGGUGUCCCCAGUCUGACACUUGGCCUAUGGUCGAUGGUUGGCUGUGUUUGCUCCAUGCAGGCUCCGGGUGGAUGUCUGCAGCUUCUGUAACAUUGCUCCUCCCCACAUCUGGAGCCUGUGAAGGGAAAUAAAAGACUGUAGCCUUCUCGGUGGGGCUUGGAUCUCAGACAUCUUCCCACCGCAUGUUUCUCAUACUCAUUGACCUUAUGUCUCUGGGCCAGGCUGACGGGGGACUCCUCCUUUCUUGAGGACCCUCAAGGAACGUGAUGCCUCAGUCUCUCCCACGUCUCCCAUUGAAAUGGAGCCAGUAUGGUGGAGACUACUCUGGGCUAGCUGAUUCCCGUCUAUUGCCUCAUAUAUUCCUCACAACAACCUUGAGAAGCAGAUGUUAUUAUUCCCAUUUCACAAGUGAGGAAACUAAGAUUCAGAGGGAUUGGGUAACUUGCCCCAAGUUGGCUGGUAAGCAGUGGGGCUGGAUUGAACCCAAGUCUUGAUGGGUUCAUGGCUUCUUCUACAUGACUGCCUUCCCCUGUACCGCUGCUCUUCACUGCCUGACAGGCCUGGUUAAAUAAUUAAACAAGGUAAUGCUUGAAAAGCACUUGGCACCUGAUCCAUGGUAAGUGACCCUCUAAGAGCACAAUCGACACUCAGUGGACCAGAGCUGAAAUAUGCACAGUUGCCUCAAAGCAAAGGCCCUCAACCUUGGCUGUACGUUGAUAGCCCUGAGGAGGGGCCGGCCCCGUGGCCGAGUGGUUAAGUUCGUGCACUCCGCUUUGGCGGCCCAUUGGUUCCAUUGGUUCGGAUCCUGGGUGCAGACUCGGCACCCCUCGUCAGGCUAUGCUGAGGCGGCGUCCCACAUGCCGCAACUAGAAGCACCCACAACUAAAAUAAAAAUAUACAACUAUGUACUGGGGGGAUUUGGGGAGAAAAAGCAGAAAGAAAAAAAAAGAUAGGCAACAGUUCUUAGCUCAGAUGCCAAUCUUUAAAACAAGUUAAAUAAAUUAAAGAAAAAAGAAAUCCCUGAGGAGCUGGUAAAACUCCACAUACCCGGGCUGCACCUCAGACCAGUAAAAUCACAAUCUAUGAUAGCGAGGCUCAGACAUUAGCAGUUUCUAAAUUUCCCCCAGCUGAUUCUAAUAUGUAGCCAAGGUUGAGAAAACCCUGGAGCAGUAGUUUGGUUCCAAGCUUGCCAGAGGACCCUGACCAGAGUGUAACAUACGCAAAGAACGUGUCCGUCAGAAGGCACAGCAAAGAAGCAUUGCAGAGCCUGCCCUGGCAGUGACAAUCCGACCAUGUCUGGAGCAGAGGACCAGGCCCAAGGCCAGGACACAUCAGCCCUGGAGGCACAUUAGGCAUGUGGAUGGAGGCGCCAGGCCCAGCAAACCUAUCUCAUGAGCAACUGCUGAUUCUGAUUCAUCAGUCCGCACAUUGGUCAUGGGAAGAAAAUGGGCAAGUCUGUUACAGCUCUUGUGUAAAUGAACUAAUUGGUGUCCUGACAAUAAUUGCUUUUGCUUUGACAGUUACUGUAAAUGAAGAUUAGCCUGCAGGGGUUACUCUCAUAAAUUUCAAUCUUCCCUGAAAUAUGAUCCCAUCCCCCUUGGUGAGUUAAUGAAUUCUGAUUUAGGCCCCUCCCUUGGACUGUGGUGAAUUCACCAAGAAACCAUCGUGCGGUAUCCUGGGAGGCGUCAUCAGACUCCAGACACAACGCGCACCAGCCUUGCCCUAGACUUCAUGUCUAACUUUCUGAGCAGAGACUGUCUGUAAGUGAAUGCCCACCUUCCUUCCCUACCCACUCUAUAGUUUUUCCUUGUCUAACUGCCCCCUAAAAUCUUCAAAGCUACCCACUCUCUGCAGGCCGUAUUAGGUGGUUCACAAACUGGUUUCAGCACCCCCCACCCCCACUGUGCUGUCCUGCACUCCAGAUGCCCAGACAAUGUGCCCUUCCCCAAACAGGCUGUUCCCACAGACCCAUGCCUCUGCCCAUGAGCUCUCCUUCUUCCUUCCCCUGGUUCCUUCCUCCCUUCUUCAUCUGGUGACACUUUAUUCAUCCUCUAAAACCCGACUCAGAUAUCGCCCCACCCCAAGCAAAACUAGUUGCAUUGUUCUCCCCACUCCCUUAGCACUUUGGACAGAACUCCACAAGGGAGGUUCAUGUGCUGAACUCAGUUCUUAUCUACAUGUGUCCUCCCUUCACUCCUCAUCAGAGAGCCUGAGCUCCCUAGGGCAAGAACCAUGUCCUGUUGGCCUUGGUAGCCUGGGGCCCAGUAUGAUGUCAUGCCCUUUUGGCUGCUUAGAUAUAUUUUCAUUGAAAUCUGAACAAACAAUAGUGCUUGUUACAUUCAAGGAGUUCCUUGUCUUGUAAAAAGCCAUUUCAUACCCAGUUUCUCCUUUGACUACCUCAAAAAGGAAGAUCUAAGGAAGCCCAAAGAUCCUGAGUGAAAAAUCACCCUGGAAGCACAGGUCAAAACAAGACACGAGGUCAAAGGGCAACAAUGAUAUGCUGAGCCAAGCACUUGCUUUCCAGGCGAGACCUGCACCACUGGAACCAGCCCCUCAGCAAAGCUUGCAGGAAAGAGGAGAAGGGACAGUGAGGUUUCUGAGGAGGUGGACAUUGGCAGGUCUGUAAGUCAGUUCCCCACACUGGGCUUUCCAUGAAACACACAGGAGGGGCCCAGAGCCUGGGGUAGACCUAGGGGGCAUGGCGUGGGGGGGUAGAAGCAUAGGCUGGUGUUGGACCCCAAAAUGCUAUACAGUUGGGCAUGUAUGUGGGCAAGGGUGUUUCUGAGGCAGCAAAUCAAUGAAUGAAUGUUUUUGUCAUUCUGCAACGUGGUAAAAUGGUUUAUAGUGUGGCUUCUCGAGCCAAGUUGCUGAGGUUUGGCAAGUAUAACCUUGGGAAAGUUAUUUAACUUCUCUGUGCCUCACUUUCUUCUCCUGUAAAAUGGGGACAGUAAUAAAAUCUACCUCAGGACUUUUAUGAGGAUUAAAUGAGUUAAUCCAUGUAAUUUUCCAAAACUAGUUCUUGGCACUUUGUAAAUGCUCAAAGAAUGAUAGCCAGUAUUUAAUAUUUUAUUAACCAGCAUCUACCAGGUGUUUCAGUUACUACAUAGUAAAUCACCCUAUAGCUUGGUGGCCUAAAACCAUUUUAUUUACUCCUUAUUCUGUAGGAUGGCGAUCUGGGCUGGGCUCAGUUGGGCAGUUCUUCUGCUGGAGUCACCUGGGUCACUCACAUGGCUGCAGGUAUCUGGCAGAUGGACUGGGGCUGGAUGGUCUAAGAUGGCCUCACUCACGUGUCCAGCAGGUGGGUCUGGCUGUCAGGUCACGUGUUACAGCAACGUGUCUCCAGCAGGUUGGUCUGGACUUCUCCCCUUUGUGGUCCAGGGUUCUGACUGUAGCCUAAAGAGGACGAGCCCUAGAGAACAAAUGCUUUUCAAGCCUCUUCUUGCAUCAUAUUUGCUAAUGUCCCAUUGGCCAAGGCACAAGAUCAAGCUCAGAUUCGAAGGAUGGAGACAUAAAUUUCACAUCUUGAUGGGAAGAGAGGCAAACAAUGCAAAGGGAUGUGUGUCAGGGUUGGGAGGGACCAUCACAGCUAUACAAACCACACUGGGCACCAGACAUGCAAGCAGAGCUCAUUUCUGGAGGCAGGAAGGGAUGUUUUCUUGGCCCUCAGGCUCAGGAUAGCAGAAAAAAGGUUAAGACAUACGUGUAAAACAACUGUAAUGCAACGCUGGAACAUGCCAAGUGCUCCAAGAAAGGAACAGUUAAGUUCUAGAAGAGUUCAGGUUAAAGUGAUCCUUUACAGCUGACAAGGGCUGGGCUUCAGUGGGUGGGGAAGACUAUAUUAGCUUGGCCUUGAAUAUGGUUAGAAUCUGGACAUGUGGAGAUGGAGAAAAUGAUAUUCCAAGUGGAGAGAAAAGCAAAUUUAGAAAAAACAAGUCAUGUCUGGGAAAUGCAAACCCAUCUAAUAUAUAUCUGGAGUAAGAGGUCCACGAAGGGGACUGCAAGACAUAAGGCUGGAAAGAUAACCUGGGGUCUAAUUGUGGAUGAGCUUGAAUUUGAACUUCAUUCUGUAGGCAAUGGGGAGCCUGGGUAUUUUUCAGAUGACAAGUGAAAAGAACUGUGUUGUAAGAAGCCUCCUUUGACAGUAGUCUGUAGGCUGGUUUGGGCAGGGGAGCCAAAAGGGGAGUAGGAGGUCACUAAAUAAUGAAAGGACUAGCAGGCCUAGGCAGAGGGAUUGAGGAGAGGCCACAAGAGUAGAAAAUACAUGCUCAGAACCUGAUGAAUGACUGCAAAUGGCGCGUGAGGAGGCGUCAAGGAUGACGCGAAGGUUGCCAGGCUCAGUGCCUCUAGGAUGGCAGAGAGGGAGGAGAUGCAUUUACAAAGCAGGGAAAUCUAGAGGAAGAACAGGUGUGGAAGGAAUUUGAGAAACAUACGGGACGUCCAGGUGGUGUUCAAGCGGGGUCCGCCAUCACGGACCCAUCACUGCGGGAGGAGGAAGAGGAGAAAGGAGAAGACAGUUAGCGACAUUGAACACAGCGAGGGGGGGUGUUUCAAAGCAGUUGUCUGUCAAAAGUGUCAGAUGUGGCCAAAGAUCAAGGAAGAAGAAGGAUGAGAAAAGGCCAACUAGCAGAUUUGACAGUGAGAAGGUCACCACGACUUCCCAGUAAAGCAGAGGAGGCUGAAGUUGCAGAGGAUGGAGGAGGGGGCGACAGGUAUCCUGCUUUCUGGAAUUCAGAGUUGGAGAGAUCUCCUGGACUUACGUGACCCUAGUGCUGCCUUCCUUCCAUUUCAAACCUACUAAAGUGAAGAAAAUGUUUAAAAUCUUAAAAAUAAAACAAACACCGCCUUUCCUUUCCAUGCUAAAAGAGAGAGGCAUGCUAGACUCUCCUUGCCUUCUCCCUCUCUCUCCCACCCCCUAGCUGGUGAUCAGACAUUGUCACGACUCAUGUCCAGGGAGACAGGCGUUGGCGGGACAGACGGCUGUUUACUUCCUAGCAGAGGUCUGUUGUGUUUUCAUAGCUCAGAAUAGUUCCUUUGCCCUCUCCAGGCCAGUGAGGCGGUGGGGGAGUGCAAAUCCCACUGUUUGUUUUCAUAAUUCCAGGCCUCACUUCAUCCUCUUUCUCUGCAUCACAGUCCUCAUUUGGGAACUCUCAGAGGGGGUAAGGUUUGGGUUAAGAGGGUCCAAGACUACUAAUUUCCUAGUUAUGUCCCCUAGCUGGGCUCCAGAAGAGGGAAGGACUAAUAACCGACUGCACAGCAUGGGUGUUUUGGUUGGGAUGAAAAUUCCGCAGCUAUUUAAGAAAGAGUUGAUUAAAGAAUUACAGGGCAGAGCUGAGGGAGAAAAAAACAAGGAGGAAGAGAAGAGGGUGUAAGAGAUGACCCCCUCCCCCAAUCUGGGUCUUGCCUGGGUGCCAGGCUCAACCUAGGGAGCUGACUUCCACUCGAGGACUGUGGGGGCCUCUCUGACUCCCAGGGCGCCUCAGGUUGCGCUGGGUUCUGGCAGCACCGGUGUUUGGAAGGUACCCUCAGAUGGCAGGAAGAAUUGGCUUCACGGAAUACUCUUCCAAAUUCUUUGAAUUUUUUUAACUAGGUGAAUAUAUUACUUUUGAAAAUGUUUUGAUUAAAAAAAUACGAGCACAUUUAUCUUUUCCUUCUGGCAAUGAUGAAUCAUUUACUGUACUUCUGUCAGGGAAUCAAAAGUCAGACCCCACCUCCUUGGAGCUACUUUCAAAGGAGCACCAAAGACUCAGAGAAUGCUAAAACUGAAAGGAGGAUGAGGGUCACCAAGUCUUAUUUUGCCAUUAACAAAAGUAAAACCCAGAGCACUCCAGUGACUUGGCCAAGGUCACACAGCUCUUUGAUCUUCCUAUUUAAUCUUUUGUUUUCCUUUUAAAUCCUAGCCAUGGCAGUGGGGAGGGGGGAGUCUCCUGGGCUGCCUGCUGGAGGCUUGAGGGUGUUUUGGAGAGGCUUCUGAGGAAAACCAAGAUGCUCUUUCCUCCUCCACACCCACUUCCUACCCCCCCCCACCCGUGUCCCCACCUCACUCCACUCCCCACCAGGUUGAGCUAUGGCUGAGCCGUUGAUGACUUAGUUCCCUCCCCUCCUUCUUCAGUUGGUCCCAAUUCUUCCAAAGAGUCCAUGAGUUGAAGCUGGGAGGGAUGGCAGUUGGGGCUGAAUCCUUAGCUCGACUCACACUUUCCACCUCUCCUCAGACAGCCCCUUUUUGCCUCUGGAGUACAGACCAGGAUGAAGGGGAAAUGAGCUUUUUCCCAAUAGUCCCCCCCACUAUUUGGUGGUGCCUCUGCCUCUCCUGUGCACCGUUAACAAAAUUUAACUCCUGGCAGGAUGGAUCAAAUCUGACAGCAAGAAUGUUUCCUAGCUACUAGAGCGGUUUGGCCCUGCCAAAGCGUUGAUGGGAGGGUGGGAGAAGCGUUUACCAUCUGGUCAAGAGAGAGCUCGUUAACCAUUUGCAGAAACAGGCGUCUCUGGAGGGGACAACAGCUUCUUUGGGGACAGGGGUUAAGGCAGAAAAAGAAGAGGAAGAGGAUGGUCAGUCUGUGCUGCCCACAAAGGCUCCCGGAUUCAUUUGAUUGAUUUGCCUCCUGGCGUGGCAGGAAGAAGGUAAUGAGCGGGGAGUUCUUAACCGUUUACAGAGAAGCAAAUGCCCUCUGAUAUUUUUCUGUGAACAAAAUGUCCAGCCCAUCCUGAGACGUGCAGCACGCUCCCCUCACCUGGUCAGUGGAUGCACAGUUCAAGGUCCUGAAGCUGAACUUUCUCACCACCCUGGAGAUAAGUCAGCCAUUUUCACUGGCUAUCAAUGAUUAAUCCUCCCUCCACCUGUUUGUCUUAACAUGUUUUUGUAAAAAAAUCAACUGCAUCACUCACUUAAAAUGUGACAGCAGUUGAUCCAGCCAGUUUCUACUGUCUACCCCUAAAUGCCUCCUCUACUGAUCACUUGGUAGGAAAAAAAGCACCUGAAAAGAAAUAAAGAAAAAAAUUAAAAACCGUAUAUCUUUCAGUUUGAGCUGUAAUCCUCCAGAGAAAUCUACCCUGCUGCUUAGACAAAGCAUCGGAUCGAAGCUGGGGUUCGCAUCCUGACUACCAUGUGCAGAAAAGACCCAUCCUAGUGAUAACAGCUGGGCAAAGUAAAGGCAGCUCCUCUCUCAACAGAACCCAGAGCCCGAGCCAGAAUAGAGGAGUUGGCCGCAGGGAAAGUCAGAAUUUCUUUUUGGUAAUAAAUGGAAUUUUUGGAUGAGGUAUGUGGUGAAUUAUGGCUCCUUGCUCUUUGCUUUCCUGUCAGCAAAUGAACUUGUUUGAGUGAAUGAGUCAAAUGUGCUCUGGGAGACGAAGGUGCCAGGACACUGGAACCAGCUGCCCUCAUUUAACGGCAGACCAGCCUACUUUCUGGCACCUUUCCUUCCUGUACUUCCCAGACCAAGAUCCUCAAAGCUCUGAAUUUCUGUUUGUGGAGAAAGUGCCUUAGGAGUGCCUGGCUAGUGUACCUGUCGAAGAGGGGCCCGUAUAAUUUUCCAUCUUUGUUGCUUCCCAGCCUCAGCUGAUCGUUUCCCCAGAGAGCAUUAAGAAGCCUUGAGUCACCUCCACUGAGGGCAAAAUAAUAGGGAGCUCACUUAUAUUUGUACAAAUGGGUUCAAUUUUGCUCAAAGGAUCCCCCAGUUGACAUAGUUAGUUAGUAAAUGUCUGGCCUCCCUGCCACUAGAGUGUCAAGGUUCAGGAGGACAGCUAGGUUUAACUUUGAAUUCCUCAGAGAACUGGGCGUGGUGUCCUGCUCAGGAAAUGUUUGUCAAAUUAAACUGGAGAACUUCUUGACAGGGAAAAAGACAGCAGUUGGAGGGAGGUGAGGGAAUCCCCUCUCUGGAGAUAGUUCUGUAAAUGAGGGAAUUCUCUCCAAAAUCUCCAGGCGCUCAAAUGCUUCGUCCACAAUAUUCACUUCAAAUACGCACAAGUCCUCUGAGGAUUUGAGAACGCCACAAUUUCUCUCUUUAGUCAGCUUUCUAGCAGGCUCAGGUCCUUUGGGGCCUUCCUCUUUCCGCACAUAAUAAAAAUUUGCUGGAGGCAGCAGGAAAGGGCUGGAAGGUAGAAAGGUGGAGACUAGCAAGAAGUCUCAUGACAUACAAAAUUGCUCUGACCAAGAGGAUCCCCCUGCCUGGCAGGCAGCCUGCCAGAGGGCCUCUCCCACUGCCCUGUGUGCCCAGAAUUGAAUAUCAGCUCCAUCACGACUCCUUAUCAACACAAGCAUUCUCGCUGAGAAGAUGGGGCUCUCCAUACGCUGCACACAUGAUGGAACCCCGCUCGACCCAGAGACUCUGGCUCCUAGCAGCCCUGUGGAGACGCAUAGAAAUUCCAGCCCCCAGGAUCACGGCAAUAGUUACUCAAUACUUUCAAGGAAGAGGGUAGAGGGAAAAAAAGAGCCAUCUCUUCUGGUGGGGUCCACAACCCAUGGCCUAGCAGUCCUAGCAUUGCGGAACACCCCCCC
rnacentral:lncRNA from 1 species